CAUGUUAUGUAGUCUGAAGUUUAAAUUUUAAGAUGGGAUAUAAGUGAACGGUUUGAUAGUGAAUAACUCGCAUAUUGAUAUUUGACAGAUAUUUAAGUCAGUUUGAGAUUCUGAUUGACUGGUGGCAGAAGGGGUAUGAAUAUAAAGUGGCAUUAAGGCCUUGCAGACAGACUUAACAAUAACAUGCUGAAGUUGCAAUAACAGUUUGACGAAGACCCACAUGUAAUCCCAUAUUGACGGUUGUAGAACUCGUACCAACAGAUUUCACUUUGGGAUAUAAUGGCAAGUUGGGAUGAGAAACUUCUUAUAGCUGCAAGGGAGGGGAAUAUAAAAGAGGUAGAAUUAUGUGUAAAGAACAGCGCUAACUUGGAAUGUAGUGAUUUUUAUGGAAUGACACCAUUAAUGUUGGCCGCUGAGAACGGACACCUGGAGGUGGUGACUUACCUAGUCACUCACGGCAGU